ensembl:lncRNA
GUGAGGAAGAGGAGGAUGGGAAGUUAGUUCCUCUGCUCUCCGACAAGAUGAACAGCUCAACGUUCACUGUGACUUUACUUUGACUGGAGGUUUUUUUUUCCAGAAAACAUAUUUUGGCACUUUUUUUGUUCUUUUCCUGCUUUGCAUAUGUUUAAUCCUCGUUUUGCAAAGUCGCUCUCAGCUGGAAGAUGUUGCUCUGCUGCUGGACAUGCACCGUUUUCCUCCUCGGCCUGCUGAGCUCCUCCUCAGCUGACGAUGCAGCAGCGGAGGACUUCGGAGGAGAGUCUGGCUCCGGGAUGCUGCAGGCAGAUGAGGUGAACAUCCUGCAGGAACUUUCUUUUCAAGUGUCCGACAGCAGAAACGCCUCCAUGAUUAAGGAGGCCGGCAGGUGUCCGGUGCUACAGGUGGGACAGUAUUCAACGCUGGCUCUGCCUCUGAGACAGAUCUUCACCGAUGGGUUUGAGGACGAGUUCAGUUUACUGGUGCAGCUGCGAAGCCCUCAGAGGGAAGAGUACAGCGUCUUCACGAUGCUCAGCCCUGACAGCCACGUCACGAUGCAGCUGCGGAUCAGCGCCGUCGCCGUCAUCUUCAUCGGAACGCAGCAGCGACACUACGAGUUCCCAGUUAGCGGUCUGUCCGAUGGAAAGUGGCACCAUGUGGCCGUCGGUGUGUCGUCCAGGCGGCUGGCGCUGUACGUGGACUGUUCUCUGGUGGAGAGCGUGGAGUGGGUUUACCACGGGAUGGGCAUCGGCAACGACGGGCUGCUGAUGGUCGGAGGCAUCAGUGAAGGAUUUGAGACGCCAUUUGAAGGUCACAUUCAACAGCUGUCCUUCCUGAUGGGGGACCCAGAUGCCGCCCAGCAGCACUGCAGCCACCACCCGCCCCGAUGCAGCGCCGCCGCC